UACACAUAUAGUCAUCUUUAUUAAAGUUCACGAUUACAUUAGAAAUUGAUGGAUUUCUUUAAGACAUGCUGAUUCUCAUGGGCACCUGCUUUCCACUUUUAAGAGUGAUAGAUAAAGAGGUCAAUAUCUUAGUGUCAUUACAUCAAGUUUUCACCAGAUAGGAAACCUGAAAAGGUCUUUUGAGCCUUCCAGGUCACUAUACUCUAAGACCUGCCCAUAUAGUCUCUGGCAUGUCUUAUAAAUUUCAGAACAGUAGAACUCAUGGGUUUUAAGGUGUAGUUCCAGGGGUUAAAUAUUGUAUCUAUACACUUCCAAAUCUCCCAGGCCUAUCUUCAAUGAAUGUAUUACUCAUU
rnacentral:lncRNA from 1 species